rnacentral:rRNA from 1 species
AACGAACGCUGGCGGCAUGCCUAACACAUGCAAGUCGAACGAGACCUUCGGGUCUAGUGGCGCACGGGUGCGUAACGCGUGGGAACCUGCCCUUAGGUUCGGAAUAACUCCCCGAAAGGGGUGCUAAUACCGGAUAAUGUCUUCGGACCAAAGAUUUAUCGCCUUUGGAUGGGCCCGCGUUGGAUUAGCUAGUUGGUAGGGUAAAAGCCUACCAAGGCGACGAUCCAUAGCUGGUCUGAGAGGAUGAUCAGCCACACUGGGACUGAGACACGGCCCAGACUCCUACGGGAGGCAGCAGUGGGGAAUAUUGGACAAUGGGCGAAAGGCUGAUCCAGCAAUGCCGCGUGAGUGAUGAAGGCCUUAGAGUUGUAAAGCUCUUUUACCCGGGAUGAUAAUGACAGUACCGGGAGAAUAAGCUCCGGCUAACUCCGUG